AGUCGUGUGUACAUCAUUGGGAAUGGAGGGAAAUAAAUGACUGGAUGGUCGCUGCUUUUUGAGUUUCAAAUUGACAUUCUAGACAAGCGGUGCCUGAGCCCGUGCCUGUCUUCAGAUCUUCACAGCACAGUUCCUGGGAAGGUGGAGCCACCAGCCUCUCCCUGACAAGCAAAGUGGAUCAGCAAAGGCUGCAGUCACCAGCAUCUUUUCCAACCUUAAUGAACUGUAUCCUCAAAAGAACACUAUCAGACUGACUCUGCCGACUUCCAGUUCUGGAACAAGAUGGUUAAACUCAUUUUUCCCUGCUCUGCUCCUCUAAAUACAACUGAGUACCUUGGAAACUAUUCAGCAGACAAUGAUAAAGGGCUCUGAAAGCUAGAAGAAAAGGUGUACUUGCAAGAAACCUCAGGACUUGAGUAACAGCAACAUGGCAGGCCAGAAAGCAGACCCAGGGAGGAUAGCCCAUGUCUUCGGCUACACUGGUGAAGGCAUCGUGCCUGCUCCACACCACAUUUUUAUUCAAGAUGUGUACCAUGUGAUGGCCAAGGGAGCUUCAUCAAUCAUGGCAUCUCAAGGGAGCUGGAGCAGAUGAGGAGGAGAUGGAGGUCCCAGGAAGGGCUGUGAUCUGCCUGGGGUCCCACAAUGGGAAACAGAACAAUCCAUUUCACAGAUGAAGAAACAGACUCAGUGAGCACGUGAUCACUUCUCACAACUAAUGGAGCCAAGAUUCUGCCCUUAUGGCUCCAGAGACCUCUUUUUUUUCCCACUGUACCACAACACUCACCAGGACUGGAGUGCCACCUAUGACCUCAUUGCAUAAUGGAUG
rnacentral:lncRNA from 1 species